GACGAACGCUGGCGGCGUGCCUAAUACAUGCAAGUAGAACGCACAGUUUAUACCGUAGCUUGCUACACCAUAGACUGUGAGUUGCGAACGGGCGAGUAACGCGUAGGUAACCUGCCUGGUAGCGGGGGAUAACUAUUGGAAACGAUAGCUAAUACCGCAUAAUAUUAAUUAUUGCAUGAUAAUUAAUUGAAAGGUGCAAUUGCACCACUACCAGAUGGACCUGCGUUGUAUUAGCUAGUAGGUGAGGUAACGGCUCACCUAGGCGACGAUACAUAGCCGAACGGAGGGGGUGAUCGGCCACACUGGGAGUGAGACACGGCCCAGACUGCUACGGGAGGCAGCAGUAGGGAAUCUUCGGCAAUGGACGAAAGGCAGACCGAGCAACGCCGCGUGAGGGAAGAAGGUGUUCGGAUCGUAAAGCUCUGUUGUAAGAGAAGAACGGGUGUGAGAGUGGAAAGUUCACACUGUGACGGUAUCUUACCAGAAAGGGACGGCUAACUACGUG
rnacentral:rRNA from 1 species